GAUGAACGCUGGCGGCGUGCCUAAUACAUGCAAGUAGAACGCUGAAGGAAGGAGCUUGCUCUUUCCGGAUGAGUUGCGAACGGGUGAGUAACGCGUAGGUAACCUGCCUGGUAGCGGGGGAUAACUAUUGGAAACGAUAGCUAAUACCGCAUAACAGUAGAUGUUGCAUGACAACUAUUUGAAAGGGGCAAUUGCUCCACUACCAGAUGGACCUGCGUUGUAUUAGCUAGUUGGUGAGGUAACGGCUCACCAAGGCGACGAUACAUAGCCGACCUGAGAGGGUGAUCGGCCACACUGGGACUGAGACACGGCCCAGACUCCUACGGGAGGCAGCAGUAGGGAAUCUUCGGCAAUGGACGGAAGUCGGACCGAGCAACGCCGCGUGAGUGAAGAAGGUUGUCGGAUCGUAAAGCUCUGUUGUAAGAGAAGAACGAGUGUGAGAGUGGAAAGUUCACACUGUGACGGUAUCUUACCAGAAAGAGACGGCUAACUACGUG
rnacentral:rRNA from 1 species